CCAAACAGAUGUGUCGUCUGGUGAUUCUGAGACCCCACGCAGUCCUCAGAUAGCCAUGAAUGAAGCCUACCAUCUAACCAUAGGCUUACUUAAAGCAUUAUAAGACCACUUUGUGAUUGGAGGAGGGGUUUGUUCUUGAGUGUGAACUUUUAGAUGAUGUUGUGUUACCACAUCAAAGGUUGGUCUCUAUCAAAUACAUCGUCCUAUGUUUUGUCUGUCUGUCUGUCUGUCUGCUGAUCGGAUUUGCUUCAUUCGCUUCACUGUGGUCUGCUCAUGGCUCCUACCUGGAUACCACGAGGACAGGGUAAGUGCUGGGGACCUGUGACUCCCACAGGGUCUGUACAUCUUUCUCCUUUUCUCUUUUGCAGUAUUGGGGUUUGUACCCAGGACUUUGCACCUUCUUGGUAAGUGCUGUACUACUGAGAUACACCACUGGGGCCCUCUUUUAGGUUUUGCUUUGAGCCAGAGUCUCCCCAUGUUGCCUGGGCUGACCUCGAAACAGUCCUCCAGCUUCAGUCUCCUGAGAAGAGGAGCCGGGACGGUGGGGCAGUACCAUCGCACCCAGCCUGUCUCCCUCUGCUUGUACAUCGUCUGCAUCUCCUUUCUUCCUACUUAUCCACAUCACCCUGUUGGCAUCUGGACUGCCACAUACAGCAGCAGCUCUGACCUCAGACCUCACAGGUCAUGAGUUAGGGCACUAUGAGAUGACCUGUAUAGGAGAGAGCACUUAGGGCCCGAUCAACCCACAGGAUCAACGAAAGCUAAGGGGCUACCCUCAAAGAAGACACCGGAUGGUUCAGAUCAGAACAAGUUCAGGCGAGGAAUCAGGAAAGAGAGAAAUAAGCCAGACCUUACUCCAACUGCACCCCCUGCCCCAGCUGACUAAAGAGGACCUGAGGCUGGGGUAAAGGAGAAGGCAGAACCCUUAGUGUCUUGUUGGGGAAUUUGGGUUGUAACCUGUAGAUAACUGAGAGAAUGCAACGGUCACAUUUUAAUUUGGCUUAGGAGCUGGAGAUAUAACUCAUUUGGCAGAGUCCUGACAUGCGAGAGGCCUUGGGUUGAAGCCCCAGUGGUGUAUUAACUGGCUGUGGAGGUGCUCAUCUGUAAUCUAGAACUUGGCUGGGGACUUGCUACAGCAUGAGUUUAAGGCUAGUCUGGGGCUCAUGAAACACAGAUAGAUAGAUAGAUAGAUAGAUAGAUAGAUAGAUAGAUAGAUAGAUAGAUAGAUGAAGUGGAUUGUAUUAAUUUUGGGGGCAGUCAAGAAAAAAAAAGAAGGGAGAGAGAGAAAGGAAAGAAGGUAGGCGAUGGCGGAGAAGAAAGCUCCCCGCUUUGUGUUUCUUGGAGUUCUGAGCUAACUACCCAACUAGGAAGGUGCCUCACUGUCUGCAGAGAAGCAAUGUAUAGAUAUAUAGCAGCUUGGGGUUAUUUUUCUGCCCUGAUUUCCUGAGCCAUUUCUAGUUUGAAUCCUUAUCAAGAGGAGGUUUCUUGUUUUCCCAUCUAAUGAAAGUCAUAACCCAGAGCCACCAGAUCUAUUGUCAGAGUGCGUUGGAAGCAGAACUAAGAACAAUGAGCUUUUUCCUACUUGUUUGCUUAGCAACAUCACCCAUCUGCCCAAGAUGCUGUGUUAGCAACGGGGCCGCCUGCUCCCAAACACACAGCUCUGGGCUUGGUCAACUCACAAAUCUCAUCAUGCCUGACAACUCUUGUUGGAGCUGGAAGAAUCUCCCAGGGGCUUGCCUGAGUCAGUUUUUACCAACCUCGGAAUGGCAGGAAGAGUUUCAGCUCCAAAGAUCUCCACUCCAGAGUGUUACUCCCAGGAAUGCCAUUUCCUGGCAAAAGGGAUUUUGCCCAGAUAAUUGAGGUGCUAAUUAGCUGACCUUAAAUUAAGAUCUGUGUGGGCUCACCGUAGUUCCACAAGCCCUUAACAGCAGAGACCUUUUGCUGGGAUCAGCGGGGAAAUUAGAGCUUGAAAGAGUGACAGGAACUUGUUAGGCUACGGUGGCUUAAAGAUUCAUGAAGAAGGCAGUGUGUCACAGAGAGGAGGGUUCAGGCUUGCAAUGGCAAGAGCCUCAAUCCUGGGGCUGGAGAGAUGGCUCAGCAGUUAAUGCUGCCCAUGCAGAGGAUCCAGGUUUAGUUCCCAACACCACACUGGGUGGCUCACAACACCCUGUUCUGACUUCCGUAGAUACAAGGCAUGUGCGCGGUAUUCAUUCAUACAUACAUACAUACAUACAUACAUACAUACAUACAUAAAAAAUUUUAAAAUCUGUUUUAAAGACUCUGGAUUCUGCCAGGAAACCAAAUUAGCACAGAAGCAGGCCUUCUCCAGGGAGCCAGCCCUGGUUUAGGCACCAGCCUGGAGUCACAGCCACUAUGGAAGCAGAGGCAGCAAGACCAUAAAUUUAUAGCCUGUUUGGGCAAUUUGCCCUGUCUCCAACUAGCCAAACAAAAUUAUAGAUCUGAGGACCUAGUCGAGCCAUAGAGUGCUUUCUUAGCAUGAGCAAGACCCCGAGGCCAACUCCUAGCACAACCAAAAUAAACAGGUAUAUAAAAGCAAGGACUCCGAAAGCCCGGCACACAAGGCGGCACAAAGCUACGCUGUGCCUGCAGCUCUGCCACAGCUCCGUGAGGAAGCCGGUAAGCAGGGUUUAAACCACCACGUUCCUGCUGAUCUGGUGCGGCAAAAACAAGAAAGUAAUGCUUUCAGGUAGAAGGAGAAAAGCAAGAAUGCCAGAAUACAUUUUCCUCCAAUGAAAGAACCAGACUCAAAUAUACAUCUGCAUCCUUUCUGAUCUACAUACGGUGCAGAGCAGUUUUCUCCCAUAAAAUGAUGGGUAGUGGGGAGGGUUUGUUUCUAAUGUGCUCAUGUGACAAAAUGAAAGUUCCCGUGCCCUGCUUAUCCUUUUGUCCCCUGGUCCACUUCUUCCUCUGUGAAUCCAGGUACAGGCAGUGGUGAUGUAAUCUACACCCUCCCCACCCCCACCUCCCUGGGGGAAAGCCGAGGACCAGAAGGGAGGCUCUCUCCUGCAACUUGCCACGAUUAAGGGGGGCAUUUUUGGAUUCCCAGUUUAGAGGUUUCUUAUAAUUAGUGAUUUUGGCAAGUGAAAGUUAAAGCUAAGUGUUCUGGAAAGACAGGCCAUUUCCUUCAAACAGUGCUGCCAGCCAGGACCUCCAAAUGUGUCAGAGCCCUUGGCCUAAGGCAGGAGAACUCACCUACUGGGGACUAAGACCUCUUCCUCCCCUAAUGGGACUACUAUUAAGCCGCACCCAAAGGGAUCUGUUCCUCCCUCAGACCUUUCCCUGUGUGUGUGUGUGUGUGUGUGUGUGUGUGUGUGUGUGUGUGUGUGUGAUGUCUGUCUGUUCAAUUGAGGAAUUGCCCACAGGCACAUCUGCAGGGGUGUUUUCAGACUGUUAACUGAUGGGGGGGGGGUUGGGUUGGUGGUCCUGAGUUGUGUGAAGAAGGUGGGUGACUGUAAGCCUGGGGGCAAGUCAGUCAUUCCUCCAUGGGCUGCUUCAGUUCCUGCCUCCAGCUUCUUGCCUUGAGUUGCUGCUUUGGCUUCUAUGGAUGAUAGAGUGUAAUCCCUAAACCAGAUUAACCCCUUCCUCCCCAAGUUGCUUUUGAUCAUGUUUAUCAGAACUAGGAAAGUAAUUAAGAUAUGCUCAUUUUUUUUAAUAGAGCCUCUGAUUAAGCCUGGAACUCUUCGGUUAUCUAGACUGGCAGCCCAGUGAGCUCCAGAGAUCCACUUGUCUCUGCCCAGCUCUCCUUCCCAGCACGAUCAUUACAGACACACGCCACCAUGCCAAGUGGGUGUAGGAGAUUUGAACUCAGGUCCUAUGGCUUGCAUAACAGGUACUUUUCCGGCUGAGCAACCUCCCAGCCGUUGUUUUUUGUCUUCAAUUUUUUUUUUAAAUUAGCAUUGAGGUGGAGGGACAUAGCAUGUCAUGGCACAUACAUAGAGGUCAGAGGACAACUUGUAGAAUCAGUUCUAGUCUCCAUCUUUAUGUGAGUUCUGGAAAUUGAACUCAGCUCUUCCGGCUUGGUGGCAAGCACCUUUAUGCACUGAGCCAUCUUGUUGGCCCCCUUCCUUGCUUUUUGAGUAAGAGCCUCACUAGAUAGCAUAGUCUCGCAUGGAAUUCUGUAUGUGUCCCAGGCUGGCACCAACCUGGAUUCUCCCCCAUGCUGGAGUUACAGGCUUGUACCACCAACCUUGGCUAUUCGUCUGUCCUACUUAAACACUCUCCCCUAAUUCUAAUUUCUCAUUCUGAAUCGUCUUAGAUAACAUUUGUUAUCCCCAAAAGGUGGACUUUCCAGCGGACCACAGCUGGACUAUCUUGGGGCUUCAAACUCACCCCAGCAGGGGGCUGGGCCCAGCAGAGCUGGACUGAUCCAGAAGCAACAGUGGGCUCCCUGUUUUCCCUGUAGCCAGCAUCUCCCCACAUUUGUUCCAUACCCCACAGAGCUGUCCUGGAGUGGAAUAAGCUCUGGACUCCCCCUGCACCCUGAACCAGCAUCCGAGCCCGUGUUACAUAUGUCACUGGGCCUCCACAAAGUCACGCACUAAAAGCCUAGGAAAGAGGGCCCCAGAGGUCCUUGACAGAGAGUAGCUUUCCCGUGCGGCCUCAGGACUGUGUCCUGGACAAGCCUGCUGAGUGCCUACCAGAGCAGCUCCUCAACAGGUCACCUGCUGAGUAACAAUUUGCUUGAUGGCCAGUUCGCUGACACGUGGGAGAUUUCUCCAAGUGAUUCCUGAGGGGGCGGGGCUUGUGGCCACUUCCCCAGACACACUUCACAGAUGUGUCCUUCCAGCUCAGGCGGAAGUAAAUUUCAUGCUCGUGUUUCACAUUUCCUCCCUUCCUAAAGGCUGCGCUUAGAGAUGAUUCCCGAAGCACUUGAGUAUCACCCCCUCAUGGUGGGGGGGGGGGGCUGCCCCUGCUGAAACCAGGAAAAUACUGGAAGCUGUUUGAUAUCCUACGCAUGGCCUCUGUCUGACAGCUGUCAGCGAGCUGUCCACUGGACCAAACAGUCAUUCGGAGAAGUUAUACGACAAGGUGUCUCUUUUAGCCAUUUGACUUUUGAUAAGUUGCCCUCAGAGCCCUAGAAGGGGGGCUCUCCCUGCAGGUCCUUCACUAGGCUGUCCUCCGCUCACCUCAAGAGGACAUGCUGAGUGUUGGCAUGGUCACCGGCCGCCUGGCACACAGGAAGUCAUCCUACCACCUCCUCCUAACUCACACUGCCAUGCACAGCUAGAAGGGCGGCCACAGGCCCGCCAACGAUCACCACCUGCACAUUCCAACACACUGUUUUGUCACCGACUGUUUCUCCUACCCUGUGAGAACCUGUCACAGAGAAAUCACUGGCACACAUGGGCUCUUAAAAUCCAGCACUUAUAAAUGGGAAUAGAUCCAAUGGCCAUGAAAAUCCUUUUUUUUUUUUUGUUAAUGAAAAAAGUAAGACUCCAGAAUGAGUUCCAUUUUCAUUUAAAUCUCACUUUUAAAGAAUUAAAAUACUUCUCUGACUUGAGAAUUUCAAAGAAAAUGAAGCUGAGAGUGAAAAUGUUUUUAAAGUAAAAAUGCCAAGAAAAUGUCAGAGUUAAUAAUGACCCAUUGAAAACUGGGAAUUAUUCCCCACAGAAUACUAGACUGGAAGGAGACAUUAAAAGCAACUGUGUCCAACCUGCUUUCAGGCUUCAGAGCCCUCUUCAUCUCUCCCACCACGAGCAGCCGGUGUGGUAUCUGCCAAUGUCCCUCCAGCGCCAGGAUCUCAGCUCUGCUUCUGACAAAGUUCUUAAGCUGGCCUGAAACCACCGCUUCUUUUGCAUUGUCUGUCCCAAAGUCCCAUAAAGGACCAGAUGGUGAGCGUCUUAGUCUUCAGUGGGCUGAGCAGCGACUCAUCUCAGCCACCGUAGUAUGAACAGCUACAGAUAAUGCAUGAAGGAGUGGGGGCUGCAAGCCAAUCAGACUUUAUUUUUAAAAGCUGCAACAGCUGGAUAUGGCCCAGGAGCCACAUUUUGUUCACCCCAGCUCUGUAGCCUCAUUGAACAAGCAUGGUCCUCCACCUCAGGAGAGCCCCCCAGAUACCUCAGCUCAGCCUGCGUUACUCGGAGAUGCCUUCGGGCUAAAUCACCCUUGGCUCCUCUAAUCACCCUAUACGGAUGCUUCUGUCUGUCAGAAGUCCCUGGGCAGGCUUCUGAGCACAAGUGUUUGGGAGCUGUGGAGCCUACAGUGAUCUCCCAAAUACCUCCAUCUGCCUGACAGAAAACAGGACUAGCUGCGGGUAUGACAGCUCAGGCCUCCCAUUCCAGCACUCCACAUUUGAGCUACAGAACAAGACCCUGCCUAAAACUCUGAACCAAGGCCAAAGCAAAGAGCAAAAGGACACCAGCUGCCAUCACCCCGCGUGUGCUAGACUCAGUACUGAGAAUGAACUUUCCAUCAUCUCAAACAGAAGAUCUCUCUACCUAUUAAACUCUGGAGGUUCUUAAAUUGCUUCACUCUGACCAUGACAUCACCAGAGUUGAUGGCAGCCGGGAAGAGGACCCAAGCAGAUGUGUGAAGGACGUGGUGGAGGAGAAGCAGGUCAGGAGAGCAUUUCUCUAAGCAGACGUUGACCUAGCAGUAAAGAGAAAUGAAGAUAGAACCAACUCACUUUACGCAGGCAAGCGAAAUGGACUGCUUUCCUGUGGGCCGAACCUGAGAAGGAGCCUUGAAGGCUGAGCUGAUGGGAAAGCUUGCAUUGAGAAGGAAGCGGUUGCCCGGAGCCCACACAGCAGGCCACAGGCAUGCUCCAGUCUUCUGGCAUGGGUGGGCUCUCCCAAACAUGUCUUUCUCAGCCCCAGGUCCUCAAACUCCUAUGAGGGCAUCUGACUUCUGCCACAGCAGCUGGUUGAGUCUGUAUUUGCUCUUUCUCUAGUCUUUCUGAGUCAGGUGACCUCCUGUGUCUGGCCCUGAACAAUCCCGAGGUGGGGAGCCAAAAGAACACAGCACAGCAAACUUCAUCCCAUCUCCCUCACACAUAAAGGUGAAGGACCAGGCUCUAAACCAAGUCUCAAGUGCAAAUCCCCCAAAUGGACAAGCUUGUCAGACCCUUGAGUCUCCCUGCUUCAGUGCCAGGCCACCUCAAGAAUCAUAAAUGUCUACCUCAAAGGGUUAGUAUGAGGGUUAAAAGAGUUCAUUUACUCAACACGUGUGGGCAAUCUAUACCUUGGGAAUAUCUAAAGAUGGCAGGCUCUUCCAAGGAUGGCCUCAGGACCUCAGCACCUCUUACAGACGCUAAGUAAGUGUCAACUACACAGGCCCCAUAGGGGAAAGGAGGAAUCACUGUUGGGCUGUGGGGUGUGGGCUCACUAUGUUCCCUCACACCUCACAUCUGUACAGGGCCGAUCAAUCCAAAAGAUGAGAGGGCCACCAUCAGCACCAAGCCUCUCAUUUCAUUCCACUAAAAGCCUGGACCAGUUUCAGAAGGAACAUGGAAGGAAAGGGCAGAGUGGUCACGACUGGACCAUACGGGACCCACCCCUUGCUAUUGCUUGCAAUUUCAGGACAAUCUGUUGGCAUGACAACCAGGCUUGCUGACCCUGCCGCCAGCUGUCACCAUCCUUGUGUGCAUAUCGCAAGGCACAGUCUCCAUCCACCACUGUCCUCCAGGCUGAGAGGUCUUGUGUUCUCCUGAGAUCUGCUUCCCUUAUGAGACAGCAAGCAAUAGGAGGGAUGUCUCCCUAGGCACCCUGCGCAAGACAUGUGUGGGCACCUGUAGAUCAUUUCCUCAAAGCCUAUAAAGGAGGUAUAUGCAAGCCCUCCGUGGGAAAGUGGGACAUACCAUGUUGCCUGGAACUGACUUGCCUUCCCAACUACAAGCAGAGUGGGGCCACCCUCCAUGCAUGCCUAUGAACUACAUCCAAGGAAGAUUCAGUCAAGAAGGGCUCAUGGAGCCAACUGUGCCAAAUGGCACAAUGUUCUGCCAGCAAACCCAAGGAUUCUGUCGUGUCUGAGACUACACAACAAUCCUAUGGGCCCAGGAUUCAGGACAGUCUACCUCAGCACCAUCAUAUGCAUCCACAUGCAUUCACAGAGGUGCUGGGUUCCACAAACACUAAUGGAGCACCAAAUCUAAUCCUUAAAUGAGGCACUUGGUGGUCACAAAGGUCAUGCUGGGGACAGCACACAAGGACCGAUGACACAUUUGUGGAUCAUGACAGCUCACCAUUCCCAAGGCUUGCUGUGUGCUGUGCCAAACCCUGCUCACAUCACCACAUCAUGUCACUUCCCAAGUCCUCGCUCUACAGACUCAGAGAUACAAGGUCUAGAGCUUAUAUCACAUUCAGCAUCGUGAAGAUAGCUGAAGAGGAGCGGACUUGGAGCGGGUAUCCACGUACUCACUCAGAUUCCCUGGGAGCCUGGGGAUAAAGGUGUCAAGAAUGAAGUUGCAACAAGCAGCCCAGGCAUUUUCAGUCUCCAGAGCCACCUUGUUCAUGUCACAGGCAAGGAAGCUUCCAGAAGCUCUCAGGGGAGGAAGAACCACAAUAUGGGGAGGGAAGGGUGUGUGGUGGACCCAGCAUGUUUUGUUGGUAAGAUGGAGGGUUUGAGGAUCUCACUAAAUUAGGCAAGGACAGUGGUCACCUGUGGAGUGGAUUGGAGGUCAGGAUGGCUUCUUGGAAGAGGGGGGGGGGGGGAAGAGAGGGAUAAAGGGAGAGGGAGAAGCGGAGUGGGGAGGAGAUGGAUUUUUGAAUAGGAGAGGGAACAGGACCGCCCCUCUGUCCUGAGCCAAAGCAUUAAGUACAGCCCAGGAUUGUGACCCUACACCCACACAACAUCACCCACCUUCUCCAGAAGCAGAGGGAACACAAAGCCGCACGGUUAGCUAGAUCACUGAUGCAGAGUGUUAUACAAGAAAACAAAGGAAUUUCGCUAGGAGGCUGGCGAUGCAGUCAGCCGCAAUAAAUAAAUUAAAUGCGC